GUAUUUGAUUCUCGUUUCAGAAAACGAAAUAUAUUAAACGAGUGGUAAUUGUUAUUUCUGUUUUAACAUUCAAAAAGGUAUAUACAAGGUGCUUUUCUUUUUCCCCAAAAAGGGGCAAACUAAUCUAAAAUAAUAAUUGUUAAACAUAUAGAGAAUCAUCGGGGGAUUACUUCCAUGGUCUGUAAACAAUGCGACUGCCAUCGCUCAGACCUCUCGCUUAUGAUGCUACAAUGCUAAAAAUGCUAAACAAUAUUUCUGCAUCCGGUACGUCAUGAAGUAGGGCGUAGCCAAAGACCCAUGAUGCGGAAGCAUAUCUCUCCUUGAUGUUGCCCUGCGCCAUUGAGCAGUUUAGGAAUGAAUAGGCGCCAUUUUUGAAUCCGUUGUCCAUUUUAUAAUGUCCAUGGGUAUGAGUAAGGUCUCGCUGAAAUUGCAUCUAACCCAUGCGUAACGUGUGUGGUGGUAGGCGAUGACUCCAGUUUAACCAGUGAAUGAGUUUCUCUGGUCUCUUUGAUGAAAGCUUCCUUCUCACACACACACACACACACACACACUCGCACACACAGUAAGGUGAAUUGAAUGAAGACUUUGAAUCUAAAUCAGUCAAAUCAGACUCAUCCCUUUAAUUAAAAUGAGGGAGGUCAUUUAAGAUCAAACACAGAGCUGAAAUAGCCUCUCACUUUUACCAAGAAGACCACAGGGUGCCGAACCUGCACUGCAGGUUUUCUUAAUUAGUUAAUUGGUUGCAUCUGUUUCACAGGUUAAAGACUUUUUGAAGUAAAGAGGAGCAUCUCAUCUGAACCUGAUGUCCAUCAUGGAUAUUUAUCUGCAGUUCUGUGAGUAUCCCAACUUGACCAUGAAGCAUAACUGCAAACUGUAAGUCAUUAAUUUCUCAUUACUCUUGGGCACAUGGAUGUAUUUUGGCUUCCUGGUGAGUUAACCUGUUACCUGAAGGUUGAUCUGAGUAGUUAGGAUGUUUUAUUGGUUCAUGGGUUACUUAGGUGUUUGGUUUAUGUUGGUUUUAAUGAUUUGUUAAAAUGGUUACAGGCUCCAAGUUAUUGUUGUAAGCUGGAGUAAUGGGUUGGGUUCUGAUAUCUUCAGUCUUCUUUCAUUCUACUCUCCUGAGCUCUGCGUGUUAAUUUAUUGAUGAGGGUGUGGUCUGAGGGAGCAGAGGUGCAUACUGGGGUACAGAGCUGUCUCGAGUCUACUGGUCUGUAGACACGCCCCCUCAGGGGAAUCGGAGUGUUUGAGAAACUGUCGUGUCGUCAGUUACAUGGCCUGGAAUGUUCUUAAAGGGGACCCAUUAUGCUUUUUUGACUUUUAAGCCCUAUAAACGUUGUUAUAAUGGAGUCAUAUUUAACCAUACACAAAAACGAUGUCGAUUUUCGGGAAACUCUUCCUCUCAUCUGGGCGCUUUCAGCCUUCUCUAUCAACGCUCGGUUUCGUCCUUCCCCGCCCACCUCGCCCCCUCCUGCCAACCCAACUCUGUUGUGAUUGGUUACCUUCCUUGGAGCGCCUGCGUGGGCAGAUUUGACCAGGCAUAUGGGGGCGCGGCAGGAGUGCCUCUACGUAGAUGAUUUCCCGGAAAUGUGAACAAGUGAAUGCAAACGUUGUCCCGAGUGUUUAGCGCUCUGCAAUUCCACCCCAGACUGGGGUGGCUCGAAAAAAAAGUCGAAAAAGGAUAAUAGGUCCCCUUUAAAGAUGGAGAGAGGGAUUCAGAAGGAGAAACACCAGGGGGAGAUGAGGGGGCUCCUCAUCUCAACGACUAAAACGCAACUUCAGUCUGACACGGAGAACCAUGGAAUACAUUCAACAGUCCCCUCCAGGCAUCGUGACUCCUCAGGAACAGUUUCCAAGAAGGUCUUAUUUGGGGCCAUCCCCAUAUGGAUCCUGCUCCUCAAGAGCCACCCCCCUCCACUGGUUGGUCUUCUGAACAGAUGAUCUCCUUCCUGUCCUCAGGCUGACUAAAGCUGCACCGUUUGCAUCUGUGAAGACCCCUCAUUCAGGAAACCACUGGACUACAAAGACAUGACUUCAGAGAUGUUGAAUCAACCUGGGACACCAAGCAUAAUCCAUCACCAAUGUGGGACGCCACUGAAGAAUGUUGUACAUAAUUUACGUCUCUGGAGACAUUGGUUGUUCUGUUAUGGGUGCCCUGGCAGGAGAGCUCGGGGGGGAAUGGAAUGUUAUUUGGCAUGAGGUUUUUACCCUGCAUGAUUGUUUGGCCUUUUAGUCAGGUGUGUGUGUGUGUGUGUGUGUGUGUGUGUGUGUGUGUGUGUGUUGAGAUUAAAGAUUUUUGAGCAUCGGUAGGGUUCUCUGUGUGUGUGUGUGUGUGUGUGUGUGUGUGUCUCCCCCACUCACACCUGGCAUGGGGUUCUACGUGCCUGUCCUGGGUUCUGUGUGUGUGUGUGUCCGGCUUGCUUUGACAGUGAUAAUGUUCAUACGGGGGUCUGUGUGAUUGGCUUGGGAUAUUGGAAUGGUAAACUAAAUCAUACCUGAUGGACGGCCUCACGUUUACUUAAGGGCCUCAAGUAGACAUGAAGAGCCCUGAGCGACGCUCCGGAGCGAGAUCCAACACACUGGGCAGGAAGGAGAGUACCCAACUCAAGUGACUUCAAACUAGGACUACACCAAUCAGGAUCAAUGGAGGAUGGACACCAAUCCGGAUCAAUGGAGGAUGGACACCAAAAGGAAUUCCACAAGGAGAGUCUGAAGUUGGAAAGGGACCUAAAUGGAUAUUCAAGAUGACCUUCAGACCUGUAAUGAGACUGCUCUUCCUACCUGGCUGGAUUGAUGGAGAGCCCUGUGGAUCUUGUCUUGCUCUCAGUUGCACGUCUUCUCAGGCUGAACUGUAUUUGUUUCGGACAGAACUAGCUGAACGAUUGGUUCCCUUAAAUCACAACCAAUCCGGGCACUCCAGCUAGUUCGCUCUUUGAGCUGAAGUGUUGCUCUUCAGCUGAGGAGGUAAGGGAACCUUCACUGGGGCUUCAAGAUGUAAAGAGGAGAAUGUUUCAAAGUGUUCCAUGGUACUCUGAAGACCGUUGUUGUGUUCAACUGGCUGAGAGGAAGAACCCACACAUCUUCCUCUUGGCCUUUCUCCUCUGAGAAUCCUGGCGCCAUCUUGAAGGAUAUUCCAUUUCAUGUAACUGAUGUCACGACAGAUUCUCAAACACUUGGUUUCUCCUGAGGGGCGUUUCUAUAGAACUGAAGACUUCAGACAGCACUGUAUCCCAGCAUGCAUCUCUGCUCACUCAGAACACACCCCCAUGAGUAGGAUGCAACACUCUAGUGAUGGUGAUGUAGAGUUUUAUAAGUAACGAGGGAGCAGACUAGGGGAUUAGAACACAAUGGUGUGUCAAGUCUGUAAAUCUUUAAACCAUGAAGAUGGUUGGAUAGUUCAGGAAUUGGGCUUCUUUUUAAUAUGGGCAGUCCUUUCACUCAGAUGCUCACUUCUCACUAGAGCUGUACAUGUGUUGGCUGGCUGGCAUGAUUUGCUGUUGGUGAUGGUGAGCUCAACGUUUAGAUUUGCUCUGUAUGGUUUGUACCCUGAAUAAUCUAGAUAAUUGUAAAAUGUAGACACGGUUUUGUAUUGAAUGAUUCCAGGAUUUUAGAUUUAAAGUUGUUGUACAUGGUAGUUUGGUUCUUCGUAUGGUUUUGAGUGAUAUAACUUGUACACACUGGGUGCAUAAUAAUGUAAAGGUACACUGAAUAGUAGUAAUGACCAACAGCAACAAACAGAUCUCCUCAAGGUAAGUCUGUUGGCUGUGUUUUAAUGAAGACCAUCGCUGGACUUCAGGAUCUUCCUCCGUUCAGCUCAAGGUGAGGCGCUGGUUCUGUUUUUUCUUUGGUUGGUUCCGGCCGGAAUGUUCGGAUUCCAGUCGGACGGUUUGUGCUUCACGCCGUGGAAGGUUCUGAGUGCGGUCACUUGAUUUAGUCCCAAUGUUUAGCAUAGAACGUUGUAGUCUUGACAACCAUAAGAAACCACCUGGCAGUUAGUUGGACAGGAGUCCCCUAAGGGAAUCUGGCGGAACGUUCUGGAUUGUAUUUGCGUAACCUCGAGCCGUUGCCAACGGAAACUAUUUUUCAGUCGGUUCCCAUUGGGAAUUGUUUCCCCUAUCUUAAACAACUUAAGUUUGAUAUUAAAUACAUACUGACACGUACCUCGUACAAUAUGUUGAUAAUUUCCGAUGGUUGCGCCGUACUUUUAACCACGUUGACGGGACUCUUGCUGCGUACCGAACGGCGUUCUACUUGCGGCCCCAUUUUUGACAUCAGUGAAGGCUGAAAAAUAAUUUCAAGGUGGAAGACAAUUUGACAUUUCUUCAGAGGAACCCAGCACCUGAAUAUGGCUGAGUAAAUUUGAUUUAAUAUCGAUACUGCUUAGUGUUCUUUGUUACUUCAGCUUUUGUACGUUCUAAAUAUCUGCUGUUAAUUGCCACAGAAGUUAAACCCUACCCAAUAGAAUGACGUUAAACAACGACUUUGGUGCAGAGUUAGCAACUGGAUAAUAUCAAAGCUAAAAUAAUGGCCGUCAUUCCCACAUGUUACAGAUACCCUAGAACUGUACAAGGUUAAAAAGGUAACAUGUAGUUUGUCCCAAGGUGUCUGCCUCCUCACCCAGAGCAAGAGCUCCACCUCCUCACCCAGAGCCAGACCUCCACCUCCUGUCAGAAGUCCUCCAGAACAGCUGAAAGGCGAGGCUGAGAGGCUGGGGACCGGAGGCUUGUGGUGCCAGGAUGGACCGGAGACUGAGGCUUGAGACCAGGGGCCUGCAGCACCAGACCAGAGGGUAACCAUCACCCAGCUCAUCCGAAACACUAAAAUCCACGGUAGUUUAGGUCUGGUUUUGAUCAUCUUAUGAAUUUAAAUCUGUGCCACGCCGUGAGUUAAUUCAUACGGGGUUAUGCAAGAGUCAUAUGAGCCAUUAAUGUUACUAGUGCUGCUACGACCGUAGUGGAUGAAUUGCUGAACGCGACAAUCUGCAGACGUUGUCUAAUUUAAGUGUUUAAAUUUGUCUUCCAUUUUACAAGUGAACCUCAGAUGCAGGAGGUGGGGUGCGUUGCGUCCCUUGGCUGGUGGAGGGCCUGCCUGGUGAAUGACGUCUGUCGUGGGGUAGAUGGAGCUUGACUCUGAAGUUAUCAUCACACUCACUGCCACUUCUCGUAGAAUACUGCCACCACAAACUACCGGCAUUUGUACCAUGUAUACCGGAUGACUACAUCUGAAGAUUUCCACUGUUUGCUCCAGACCAGGACUCUGUCUGAGGAGAGCUGCUGGAGGAGCUGAGACGCUGGAGGACGACUAGGAAUCGACUAACAAGGAUUCCUUGUAUGUUUAUUUACUUACAUGGUUGACUUAAAGGGCAAAAUACAGCUGUUACUUUGACAUGCGUUAACCAACUACCGCUGUGUUUUCUUACUAGAACGCGUUUCUGGAGCGGAGGCGAGCUGGUAGGGGAGCCGUGAAUCUGGAGGAUGACCAUCACUCUACCAACAAGGAUUACUUUAGGGCCAGACUCGCGCUGUUUGUUCCAGACCAGGACUCUGGCUGAGGAGAGCUGAUGGAGGAGCCAAGACUCUGGAGGACGACCUCACUCCACCAACCAGGAUCCUCACCAGGAAUCUGGAGGACUGAUGGAGAAGCCAUACAUCUGGAAGGCAAAUCCUGAGGACCACCAGGACUCUACCAUCAAGGAUUCCUCAUUAUUGUGCAUUAUCUGGACAUAGUGGACUAGACACACCUGAGCUUAACCUCACCUGAUCCUGUUUGGUCGGGGGUAGACACACCUGAGCUAUACCCGCCCUGAUCCUGACAUCCUGCUGGUCCCGUCCCCUCAGUUCAUCUGAGCCUCGUCCUCCAGAAGACCUGCUGAGCUCAGCAGUCUGAGGCUGAUGGAUCAAUGACCUCCAGUGGGAGUGAUCUUCUUGACCCCAAAUGUAACCGUGUGCUUCCACACGCCUUUCCCUCACGUCUGUCACUAACCUCACUACUUCACUACUGCUUCCUCUUUUCUUCCUUCUCUGUGGUUCAAACCUUUACACUGAAGGCGCGUCUUCCUGCCCUCAGAGGGUUUAGCGUUAGGGUUGAGAGUCAGGGUUUAGAGUCAGGGACAGAGCUGGUCAGGGAGGACUGCUUUUAAACAAACCUCUUCACUUGCUUUCGGAAUGGUGGUGACAUUUUGAAAGGAUUCAUUUGGGAAAAUGUUUUCCUCUGCUUUCCUUUACAAAUUGUAUUGAAUUUCUGUCGAGUGUUUUUGUUUAUGUAUUAAAAUCCCACAUUGACUUCUACAUGUUUGUUGCAGUUCAUUUAAUUGUCCUUUAACUUGGUUAAUGUCAAGCUAAACUCCUGCAAUACAUUUAAUCUACAUUGUUUUUCUGCAUUGUUACAUUAUCC
ensembl:lncRNA